UACGUAGGGGGCAAGCGUUGUCCGGAUUUAUUGGGCGUAAAGAGCGUGUAGGCGGCUUGGUAGGUCCGCUGUGAAAACUCGAGGCUCAACCUCGAGAUGUCGGCGGAAACCACUUGGCUAGAGUCCGGAAGAGGAGAGUGGAAUUCCUGGUGUAGCGGUGAAAUGACGCAGAUAUCAGGAAGAACACCCGUGGCGAAGGCGGCUCUCUGGUACGUGACUGACGCUGAGACGCGAAAGCGUGGGGAGCAAACAGG
rnacentral:rRNA from 1 species